GACGAACGCUGGCGGCGUGCUUAAUACAUGCAAGUCAACUGAACUUGAAGUAGCAAUAUUUCAAGGGAGGUGGCGCACGGGUGAGUAACACGUAGGUAAUCGUGCCUUUAGGUCUGACAUAAUUCCGCGAAAGCGGGACUAACUUCAGAUGAUGCAGCGGCUCGACAUCGAGACAGUUGUUAAAUCUUCGGAGCCUAAAGAUGAGCCUGCGUCUGAUUAGGUAGUUGGCGGAGUAAAAGCCCACCAAGCCUGCGAUCAGUAGCUGGUCUGAGAGGAUGAUCAGCCACACUGGAACUGAGACACGGUCCAGACUCCUACGGGAGGCAGCAGUAAGGAAUAUUGCUCAAUGGCCGAAAGGCUGAAGCAGCAACGCCGC
rnacentral:rRNA from 1 species